GCUCAUUAAAUCAGUUAUGGUUCCUUAGAUCGUUCAUACUACAUGGAUAACUGUGGUAAUUCUAGAGCUAAUACAUGCAAAAAGCUCCGACCGUAUGGGAAGAGCGCUUUUAUUAGACCAAAACCAAUGGGGUCGCAAGAUCCCUUUGUAUGGUGACUCUGGAUAACUUUGUGCUGAUCGCAUGGCCUCGAGCCGGCGACGUAUCUUUCAAGUGUCUGCCCUAUCAACUUUCGAUGGUAAGCGAUUUGCCUACCAUGGUUGUAACGGGUAACGGGGAAUCAGGGUUCGAUUCCGGAGAGGGAGCAUGAGAAAUGGCUACCACAUCUACGGAAGGCAGCAGGCGCGCAAAUUACCCACUCCUAGAACGGGGAGGUAGUGACGAAAAAUAACAAUACCGGACUCAAUGAGGCUCGGUAAUUGAAAUGAGUACAGUUUAAAACCCUUAACGAGGAUCUAUUGGAGGGCAAGUCUGGU
rnacentral:rRNA from 1 species